rnacentral:sRNA from 1 species
ACUCAACGUUAAUUCUUUAAAAAGGGUGAGUUUAAGUUGUAAAAGCAAGCUACCUUGAGUAGAUCCUUGAUCAGCUUGUUAGCCCUAAACUUGUUUUUAAGGAGUUU